AUUGAACGCUGGCGGCAGGCUUAACACAUGCAAGUCGAGCGGAGAGAGGUAGCUUGCUACUGAUCUUAGCGGCGGACGGGUGAGUAAUGCUUAGGAAUCUGCCUAUUAGUGGGGGACAACAUUUCGAAAGGAAUGCUAAUACCGCAUACGUCCUACGAGAGAAAGCAGGGGAUCUUCGGACCUUGCGCUAAUAGAUGAGCCUAAGUCGGAUUAGCUAGUUGGGGGGGUAAAGGCCUACCAAGGCGACGAUCUGCAGCGGGUCUGAGAGGAGGAUCCGCCACACUGGGACUGAGACACGGCCCAGACUCCUACGGGAGGCAGCAGUGGGGAAUAUUGGACAAUGGGCGCAAGCCUGAUCCAGCCAUGCCGCGUGUGUGAAGAAGGCCUUAUGGUUGUAAAGCACUUUAAGCGAGGAGGAGGCUACUUUAGAUAAUACCUAGAGAUAGUGGACGUUACUCGCAGAAUAAGCACCGGCUAACUCUGUGCCAGCCGCCGCAGUAA
rnacentral:rRNA from 1 species